ACGCUGGCGGCAGGCCUAACACAUGCAAGUCGAGCGGUAACAGAAAGUAGCUUGCUACUUUGCUGACGAGCGGCGGACGGGUGAGUAAUGCCUGGGAAUAUGCCUUGAUGUGGGGGAUAACUAUUGGAAACGAUAGCUAAUACCGCAUAAUGUCUUCGGACCAAAGAGGGGGAUCUUCGGACCUCUCGCGUCAAGAUUAGCCCAGGUGAGAUUAGCUAGUUGGUGGGGUAAGAGCUCACCAAGGCGACGAUCUCUAGCUGGUCUGAGAGGAUGAUCAGCCACACUGGAACUGAGACACGGUCCAGACUCCUACGGGAGGCAGCAGUGGGGAAUAUUGCACAAUGGGCGAAAGCCUGAUGCAGCCAUGCCGCGUGUAUGAAGAAGGCCUUCGGGUUGUAAAGUACUUUCAGUCGUGAGGAAGGGUGUGCAGUUAAUAGCUGUACAUCUUGACGUUAGCGACAGAAGAAGCACCGGCUAACUCCGUGCCAGCAGCCGCGGUAAUACGGAGGGUGCGAGCGUUAAUCGGAAUUACUGGGCGUAAAGCGCAUGCAGGUGGUUCAUUAAGUCAGAUGUGAAAGCCCGGGGCUCAACCUCGGAACCGCAUUUGAAACUGGUGAACUAGAGUGCUGUAGAGGGGGGUAGAAUUUCAGGUGUAGCGGUGAAAUGCGUAGAGAUCUGAAGGAAUACCAGUGGCGAAGGCGGCCCCCUGGACA
rnacentral:rRNA from 16 species